UGGCGAGCAGCGGGCUAAGGAGGAGGGGAUGAGAGGAGGGGUUGAGUGGGAUCGGAAGGGGAGGGGGCACAGUGAGCAGCCUGGGCUGGAGGGCAGUGAAGUUGAGCGGCAGCCUCUGAGGUGCUGCUGGUGUCUCCUACCCUGGAUUCCAGGUCGUUCGAGUUGAUCUGAAGUGUGAAAUUGGAAGCCUUAAAAGUUUGCCAACAGUUCCAUGUUAGAAAGUCAGGAGAUUUGAGAAUUGUGGAUAUUGAAACACUUCUCUACCAAGGAUGAAAACAAAACAAAACAAAAUCACUUGUGUGACAAAUGCAUCCAGCUACGGCCACGUUGCUUCCUCCUGGGACUCUUUUAAAAUGACCCUCACUCUACAAGCUGAUGGCCUCUACUAGGGUGUCAAAAAAAUUGCUGCCCUGGAUCAAGUCAGUUUGAUACUGAAUGAAGAGAAUGAAAGAAAUACAAGACCGAGCCCAGAGAGAGCCAUUAGACUUCGGGAAAGCAGCCUACUUCAUUUUGACCCUUCCAAGCUUCUUUUCUUUUUAUCUCAAGUCCAAAAUCCUUCCUUUUUCUGUUUUCAUUUCUUCCAAUAAAUUUAUUAAAUUUUAAUAAGUCCAAAUCUGUCUGUGAAAUAAAUCUAUAAAACUUUCAACUCUUCUUGGAAUACAAUUCUCAAAAACGAUAAAAUCAGGACACUUAGGCAAAUGUAAUAUUAUUAUUAUUUGAUAAUUGGAUGUUAAAACUUGUCCAAAGAGCACUUGAGAAGCUAGAUAUUUAUACACAAAAUACAAAUAAACAAGAAUGACUUUUCUUGUAGAAUCUCACUAAAAUCUUCAGCUCUGAGAUAAAACACAAUGCACAAGAUUAAUCUUUAUGCCCUGUAUUACUCUCACCAUCUUGUUUUUGACUGAUGUCCCCCUAUUCUGUUUUGCUUGAUAGUACCAGGUUCGAAAGUUUAGGCAACAGCUGUGAAGAUAGUGAGAUUCAUUAUGACGCCCAUUCUCAUUGACUAUUAUCUACUUUUGAAGACCUAUAAUGUCUCCAAUGUUUUGGUUUUGUCGGUUUUGUUCUUUACUGUUUUGUUCAAUUUUAUUAUAACUAAUGAUAUAGGCAAUUCUAUUAGAGAUAGCGGGAGGCACUAUGGUAACCAUUGUUGAUCACCUUGUAUUAUGCUUUUACAUUAUCUAUUAUGUCCACCCUUUUGAUUUGACUGACUGUUCUGUUAUGUCACAUUUGGUUCUACUCCCUUCCAAAAAAGUAAUAAGAACUGUGGGAGCAACAAAACCCAAAAUGUGUAAUUGUCAUUGUACAAAAGAGAGGAAAAGAAAGUGCUUUAAAUGAUAUAACUGCAUGUAUAUUUAAGUGUAUAAGAUAGAUAAUGAUAUCACUGAGUUUUGUUGGAUCAUUGAACAGAACUGUUUGCAGUCUGUUGGAAUGUCCACUUUACAAGCUUUAGUUUUCUGACUUGAACAAUUAUUUCUAAGAUGACAAUAUGUAAUCCAUUAACUAGUGAUUUUCUACUGUUUAUUUUUUUCUGUAAAUCUGUAUAACUUGUACCCUUUCUCUGCUUUUUUUUUCUCCUUAAAUAAAAUUUUUAAAAAAAUUAA